rnacentral:rRNA from 1 species
GGCAGCAGUGAGGAAUAUUGGUCAAUGGGCGCUAGCCUGAACCAGCCAAGUAGCGUGAAGGAUGACUGCCCUAUGGGUUGUAAACUUCUUUUAUAUGGGAAUAAAGUGCAGUAUGUAUACUGCUUUGCAUGUACCUUAUGAAUAAGGAUCGGCUAACUCCGUCCCAGCAGCCGCGGUAAUACGGAGGAUCCGAGCGUUAUCCGGAUUUAUUGGGUUUAAAGGGAGCGUAGGCGGGUUGUUAAGUCAGUUGUGAAAGUUUGCGGCUCACCCGUAAAAUUGCAGUUGAUACUGGCAUCCUUGAGUACAGUAGAGGUAGGCGGAAUUCGUGGUGUAGCGGUGAAAUGCUUAGAUAUCACGAAGAACUCCGAUUGCGAAGGCAGCCUGCUGGACUGUAACUGACGCUGAUGCUCGAAAGUGUG